UUUCGGAGUCCUAAUGGGCUGAACAUUGGCAGUGUGUUGGUAGACCGUGGGGUGCUGCAGACUGCUCAUCUUCCUGCAGAGAGCGCCUGUUGCCAGAUGGAGGCAGUGCCAAAGAUGUGCACCUCGCCAGUUGCUGCCGAUUCUACUAAUGAAAAAGAGUGUUUGUUUUAUCUUUGAUUUGAAAUGAGUGGAAAUGGGAGCACAUCCACACACACACAUAAAUACCACACAUACCUGUACUCAGCUCGCAGGCUUUAGGGUCAAAGCAAUCUCACCUUUAAUUUUCUCACCGGUGCAAUAUCUGUGAAAGCAAUAUAAUGCAGGAUCACAAGGCAGGUAGUGUCUGUGCAGGCUAGGUUCAUGAAAGUGUGUAUCACGGUGUCGAGAGUAAGAUGAGAAGAAAAGAUGAAAACAAGUUGAAUUGGAGGAGAAAGAUAAAGCAUGUAGUGAUGGAGGACGCGAGAAGAUACUCCAGGGAUAAAGAGAGAUGGAGAGAGAGCGAGCGAGCGAGAAGGAGACAGAGAGAGAGAGAGAGAGAGAGAGCAAGAGGUGGGCUGAACACCAGCCAUCAAAUACGGGAAGCCGAGCCAGUUGUGACGCACUAAGGCACCAAGGCGGUCAAGAUAAAGUGUCAGAAAAAAGUCCAGGAUGCAGAGAAACAUGACAAUCACCCAUCUUCCCUCAUUUCUUCAGCUCUUGCGAAUCCCGUAGAUAAGAAGAGUAUAAAGACCACAAACUGCAGGUUUAUAUUAGUUGAGGAACCUGCUGUCCAGUCACCACGAUGCCGUUACCUAACUGCACCUUCAACUCACUUGCAGCCAUUUUAACUGGUGACAGAGAACUUGGUGACUUAGGAUGCCCCGAUUCUGCUGUGGUGUGUGGAAUGAAUAUCUCCUGGGUGUUGGCGAAUGCCACUCAAGAAGAUCUGGAAGAAAUGCUUUGCUUGACUGAGGACAAGUACCUGUCCAAAAUUCUGGGGGAAUCAAAAUCCCCCAUGUUUCUCCCUGUCUGUGUCACUUACCUCACCAUCUUCAUCGUGGGUGUCCUGGGCAAUUCCCUGACCUGUGCGGUCAUUUUACGCUACAGAGUGAUGCAAACGCCAACCAAUUACUACUUGCUGAGCCUGGCUGCGUCCGACCUGCUGGUGCUGCUUCUGGGGAUGCCGUUAGAGAUCUACGAGAUGUGGCAGAACUACCCCUUCCUGCUCGGAGAAGGGGGAUGCUAUUUCAAAACCUUCCUAUUUGAAACUGUCUGCUUUGCUUCCAUCCUCAAUGUCACUGCGCUCAGCGUGGAGCGCUACGUGGCGGUGGUGCACCCCCUCAAAGUCAAGCAUUUGACCACACGUGCUCACGUUAAGAGGGUCAUCCUCAUGUUGUGGGGGCUGUCGAUGCUGUGCGCUCUGCCAAACACCAGUCUGCAUGGGAUCGAAGUGCUGCCGCCACACUUUGGUCGACAGUUUCCCCGAUCUGCUAUCUGCCAUCUGGUCAAACCCAUCUGGAUGUACAACUUAAUCAUCCUGAUCUCCACGCUGGUCUUCUUCCUGCUCCCCAUGCUGAUCAUUAGCGUUCUCUACCUGCUCAUUGGCUUGAGGCUGCGCAGGGAGAGGGUGAUGACCACGGUGGAUACUAACUGUGGCUUCGGUUCUGAAAGUAUCUCCAGCUCCCACAAGCAGAGGCUGAGCAAACGAAAUGUGCAAGUAACCAAAAUGCUAUGUGUGCUGGUGGUUGUCUUUGGCCUGUGUUGGGCUCCCUUUCACAUCGAUCGCUUGAUGUGGAGCUACAUCAACAUAUCAUACGAGCAGCACCGCAGGAUCUUCGAGCAUGUCCACGUCAUCUCUGGAGUCCUCUUCUACCUGAGCUCCGCCGUCAACCCCAUCCUCUACAACCUCAUGUCCACCAGGUUCAGAGAAAUGUUUAGCCACAUUACCUGCCACUCUAACAGCUGGCGAGGACACUCAAGGAGCUUCCAGAUGACCCAACGCAGCACUCUACGUGAAAAAACACCCCAAAGUAGCAAAACGACUUCUGGAGCCUUUUGAGCCUUUAGGAGACAAAGGAAGUAAAGGAAAAACUGAAUAAACAAAUGGGAAAAAAGAGAGUUCUGCACCAAGCACCUCUAACAUUAUGGAAAACGAUGUUCCUGCAUUCAUAUAGAUCUCGAACACAACCAGAAUCUGUGUCUUAGCAGCUGAUCUGACUCACAAUAAACACAAUUCACAGGUUAUUGCCCACAAAACUACAAAUAUUACACUAAAAUCUGACAAAUACUGUAGGGGGAGCAGCAGGUCUUGUGAACUGUGGAUGGACAGAAACAGACGGUCCUUCAGCCGAAUGAGCUAAAAAAUGGUUCCUGAGGCUCCUCACCUUAAGAGAAAACAAGCGUAUUUCCAUCCUGCAUGCAUUUACUGUGUAAUCAUUUUUAUCAAGUCCCAGAGUGUAAAAACAACAAUAACUCAAAUUACAUUCAGAGUGAAGACCAACAAGGCCACACACUGAGGUUACUGCACUGCCACAUAGAUGAUGCAGCAGCAUUUUUACGCACGGGCAACGCAUCACAUCAACUGCAUCAAAAGUAAACGUUUUCUAUUGGAAAUGGAGUGUGCACCAUUAAAACAGACCUGAUUUUGAAUAUCAGUGCUGCUUGUAAGAUGUGUCAGCGGGCCCACUCAGAAAGAAAAGAUCACACCGAGUCUUGUCUUCUUUGGAUUCCUGCAGUGCAGCCAGCCCCGGAAGGCAAAGGUCUUCUGUGUAUACAUCGCAGUAAAAGUGUCGGGGCAAACAAUUCAAGUAACAAGGCGUGUUGAGAGCCACGAGAACCUUCCGCCAGGAUGUCUCAUCUCAACUUUAGGUGACGCACAGCGCGGGGGAAAAAACUCAUUUGUAUACAUGGAGAAGAUGAUUAUGAGGGGUAGAAGCUAGGAGGAAAGAUGAUGUCACCGGGUCAAUAAUAUGGAACAAAGAAUUAAUGAAUGAUUAGAUGAAGCAGGAUGUGAAAGCAGACAAAGAUGAGCCAUCUGUUCAAUACUGACAAAUCACUUUGGAAUGAAACAGCGUUAUCAGUGUGCCACACCAGCACAGAUGAAGGGCCCUCUACCCACAGCUUCCAUCAACAUAACAAAAUGCACUGUUUACGCACUGCCUAUGCAAAUUGGCCCAUUAAAAAAAGGGUGCAUCACAGCGUCGCCCGAAUAAUGACAGACACUCAAGACCGGGGUUAUGAUUGACUCCUGUGGGACUUUAAUGUGACAC